rnacentral:rRNA from 1 species
GACGAACGCUGGCGGCGUGCUUAACACAUGCAAGUCGAACGGAAAGGCCCUGCUUUUGUGGGGUGCUCGAGUGGCGAACGGGUGAGUAACACGUGAGUAACCUGCCCUUGACUUUGGGAUAACUUCAGGAAACUGGGGCUAAUACCGGAUAGGAUCUCCUGCUGCAUGGUGGGGGUUGGAAAGUUUCGGCGGUUGGGGAUGGACUCGCGGCUUAUCAGCUUGUUGGUGGGGUAGUGGCUUACCAAGGCUUUGACGGGUAGCCGGCCUGAGAGGGUGACCGGCCACAUUGGGACUGAGAGACGGCCCAGACUCCUACGGGAGGCAGCAGUGGGGAAUAUUGCACAAUGGGCGGAAGCAUGAUGCAGCAACGCCGCGUGCGGGAUGACGGCCUUCGGGUUGUAAAACGCUUUCGCCUGUGACGAAGCGUGAGUGACGGUAAUGGGUAAAGAAGCACCGGCUAACUACGU